AGCUUUGCGCAGUGGCAGUAUCGUAGCCAAUGAAGUUUAUCCGAGGCGCGAUUAUUGCUAAUUGAAAGGCAAAUAAAUAAAAUAGCC
ensembl:snRNA U4 U4 spliceosomal RNA